rnacentral:lncRNA from 1 species
GAUUGUUCAAAUAUAGUUUUUAUUUAUUACAUAAUUCUUAUUACAAGAAUUUUAUUAUCGCUUCCCGCACCAAGAAUCUCAUACAUAAAUUAUCAGAUAAUGAUGCCUGGAUGCGACCAAUAGAAACCGGUUGUUGAUUUGGAACUCAAAGCCAAAACACAGGCAAUAGCAGUAAAGAAGACUGCGAAACCGUCAAAAGUUCUCCCAUAUGAACUGAAUUUGGAUACACAAUUUAGAUAUCCCGUACAGAUAUCCUAAGUAAAGAAAAUUAACCAACUUUCAGGAUGACGUUUCAGCUGAUCUUGUACUCUCUGCAAAUUCUACAAAAAUCAAUCUUCCAUUCACUAUCUGCACUGGCAUACAAAUGUAAAAAUUAGACGAAAUAGCAGCACACUCAAAUGGAUUAAUACAUCCAAGUGAUUAAGAUGCAAGCAGGUCAUCAGAUGUUCUUACAAUAGGUUAUGGAACAUCCACUAUGGGAAUGUAGACAAAGCAUAUUGAAGUGAACAACAGCAGAUUCCCCAAAAAAGGCAAACAGUAACAUCCUCUUCUUUAGGUGCAAUAAUUAAGAGUUAAGACUGCUAUGAAAAGCCUUCUUUUAGUUGAACAUGGAACAAAAACACAUGAAAAACACCAAAAAGGCCUGUAUUAAAUAAAUUGAAAGGAGGAUAAGCAAAACCAUAGGAAGCUGGAAAAAGAGGAGAUCCUUUAAGCAUCAAACAAGAGAUCAAAAUCAUAUAAUUCUGACUUUUAAAACUCAGAUGCUCCAUUAACACUUGUCAGAAUCAAUAUCUAUAUUAAUCUAUGCAACUAAAUUAGUCAGUACCAACAGCUUGAACGUGUGUCUCUGAGAGGGGCAAAAAGUAAAUUGCAGUUAAAAUGUACAGUAAUGGUACUAAAAAUAAUAAACAAACGGUAUGAUAAGAGUACAGCGUGCACGGUUCAUCAACGUUGUAGCUUUCCAACAUGUCCAGUGCUACUGUUAUUUCUUGAACAGAACAACAAUUCACACUGUCUAAAGGCUAACUGACGAAAAAAAUUAGGAAGAUAAGUUCUUUCCCUGUUCAAUCAUAAUAUUAGUCUCUGUUCACUUUUCAAUCUUCUUAUGUAUACCCCACUCAUCUUAUCAACAGAUGCACAAAACAUCACAAUUUUAGAACCUGCGAUAACCAACCCGAAAUGAUGGAAAGAGAUGCUACCAACCCAUGUUGCCUUAAGUGGUUACUUAUUACACUGGACAAGAGGAAACUGGCAAGACAAAAUUCUCCGCUAAUUUUUCUUUUUUUAAUUUUCCAAAUACAUGGAUUUAAAUGGUGAAGAUUCUGAUUCAAGAUCGUAUAUACAUUGAUUGAAACCCGAUUUAGUGACUUACAAAUAACGUCAUAGCAAUAAAGAAAACUUCAGCAAUACUUGACAAUCAAAACACAUCAUAUAACCAGUGUCAAUAUAUGUGCAUUUUAUAAAUGUUACCACAAACUACAGUCCCCAUAAUUGAUAUGGGGAUACAUAUGUAAUCAUACAUUACCACAUUAGAAAUAUAUACGAUUGCAAAAGUAUCUUACCCUGCCAUUCAUAGCCUUCACUGCAUUCUGGGCAUUGACCUCUGAUGCAAAUUUCACAAAGGCAAAUCCUUUAGGCCUUUGUGUUCUUGGGUCUUUGAUAAGCCUUGCUGCAUUAAACACAGUCAUCAUCCACGAGAUUGAGUGAAAUGUUAAGAUCAGUGCUGGGUAGAAUACUAGGAGAAAGAAGAAAACAUCUCAAAUUAAAACCAUUAAAAGUUUGUUUGCCUGAGCUUAAUCGAAGUAAAAGUUAGCUUUAAGUAAGACAUCUAUAUCCAAACCUUUUUUAAAAAUAAAACUUACACCUUCCUCAACUUACUUAUUUCAAAUUUUG